rnacentral:rRNA from 1 species
UACGUAGGGUGCGAGCGUUGUCCGGAAUUAUUGGGCGUAAAGAGCUCGUAGGCGGUUUGUUGCGUCGGCUGUGAAAUCCCGAGGCUCAACCUCGGGUCUGCAGUCGAUACGAGCAAACUAGAGUGUUGCAGGGGAGACUGGAAUUCCUGGCGUAGCGGUGAGAUGCGCAGAUAUCAGGAGGAACACCGGUGGCGAAGGCGGGUCUCUGGGCAACAACUGACGCUGAGGAGCGAAAGCGUGGGGAGCGAACAGG